rnacentral:rRNA from 1 species
UACGGGGGGAGCAAGCGUUGUUCGGAUUUACUGGGCGUAAAGGGCGCGUAGGCGGUCAGCACAAGUCAGUUGUGAAAUCUCCGGGCUUAACUCGGAAAGGUCAACUGAUACUGUGCGACUAGAGUGCAGAAGGGGCAACUGGAAUUCUCGGUGUAGCGGUGAAAUGCGUAGAUAUCGAGAGGAACACCUGCGGCGAAGGCGGGUUGCUGGGCUGAACACUACGCUGAUGCGCGAAAGCUAGGGGAGCGAACGGG